rnacentral:rRNA from 1 species
CCUACGGGGUGCAGCAGUGGGGAAUAUUGGACAAUGGGCGAAAGCCUGAUCCAGCCAUGCCGCGUGUGUGAAGAAGGCCUUCGGGUUGUAAAGCACUUUCAGUGGGGAAGAAAGCCUUGGGGCUAAUACCCUCGAGGAAGGACAUCACCCACAGAAGAAGCACCGGCUAACUCCGUGCCAGCAGCCGCGGUGAUACGGAGGGUGCGAGCGUUAAUCGGAAUUACUGGGCGUAAAGCGCGCGUAGGCGGUCUGAUAAGCCGGUUGUGAAAGCCCCGGGCUCAACCUGGGAACGGCAUCCGGAACUGUCAGGCUAGAGUGCAGGAGAGGAAGGUAGAAUUCCCGGUGUAGCGGUGAAAUGCGUAGAGAUCGGGAGGAAUACCAGUGGCGAAGGCGGCCUUCUGGACUGACACUGACGCUGAGGUGCGAAAGCGUGGGUAGCAAACAGGAUUAGAUACCCUAGUAGUC